rnacentral:rRNA from 1 species
GACGAACGCUGGCGGCGUGCUUAACACAUGCAAGUCGAACGGAAAGGCCCUGCUUUUGUUGGGUGCUCGAUUGGCGAACGGGUGAGUAACACGUGAGUAACCUGCCCUUGACUUUGUGAUAACUUCAGGAAACUGGGGCGAAUACCGGAUAUGAUCUCCUGCUGCGUGGUGUGGGUUGGAAAGUUUCGGCUGUUGGGGAUGGACUCGCUGCUUAUCAGCUUGUUGGUCGGGUUGUUGCUUACCAAGCCUUUGACGGGUAGCCGGCCUGGGAGGGUGACCGGCCACCUUGGGACUGAGAUACGGACCAGAAUCCUACGGGAGGCAGCAGUGGGGAAUAUUGCACAAUGGGGGGAAGCCUGAUGCAGAAAUGCCGCGUGCGGGAUGACGGCCUUCGGGUUGUAAACCGAUUUCGCCUGUGACGAAGAGUGAGUGACGGUAAUGGGUAAAGAAGCAACGGCUAACUACGUG